AGAGUUUGAUUCUGGCUCAGAACGAACGCUGGCGGCGUGGAUAAGACAUGCAAGUCGAACGAGAGAAUUGCUAGCUUGCUAAUAAUUCUCUAGUGGCGCACGGGUGAGUAACACGUGAGUAACCUGCCCCCGAGAGCGGGAUAGCCCUGGGAAACUGGGAUUAAUACCGCAUAGAAUCGCAAGAUUAAAGCAGCAAUGCGCUUGGGGAUGGGCUCGCGGCCUAUUAGUUAGUUGGUGAGGUAACGGCUCACCAAGGCGAUGACGGGUAGCCGGUCUGAGAGGAUGUCCGGCCACACUGGAACUGAGACACGGUCCAGACACCUACGGGUGGCAGCAGUCGAGAAUCAUUCACAAUGGGGGAAACCCUGAUGGUGCGACGCCGCGUGGGGGAAUGAAGGUCUUCGGAUUGUAAACCCCUGUCAUGUGGGAGCAAAUUAAAAAGAUAGUACCACAAGAGGAAGAGACGGCUAACUCUGUGCCAGCAGCCGCGGUAAUACAGAGGUCUCAAGCGUUGUUCGGAAUCACUGGGCGUAAAGCGUGCGUAGGCUGUUUCGUAAGUCGUGUGUGAAAGGCGCGGGCUCAACCCGCGGACGGCACAUGAUACUGCGAGACUAGAGUAAUGGAGGGGGAACCGGAAUUCUCGGUGUAGCAGUGAAAUGCGUAGAUAUCGAGAGGAACACUCGUGGCGAAGGCGGGUUCCUGGACAUUAACUGACGCUGAGGCACGAAGGCCAGGGGAGCGAAAGGGAUUAGAUACCCCUGUAGUCCUGGCAGUAAACGGUGCACGCUUGGUGUGCGGGGAAUCGACCCCCUGCGUGCCGGAGCUAACGCGUUAAGCGUGCCGCCUGGGGAGUACGGUCGCAAGAUUAAAACUCAAAGAAAUUGACGGGGACCCGCACAAGCGGUGGAGUAUGUGGCUUAAUUCGAUGCAACGCGAAGAACCUUACCUGGGCU
rnacentral:rRNA from 1 species